rnacentral:rRNA from 1 species
AGAGUUUGAUCCUGGCUCAGGACGAACGCUAGCGGCACGCUUAACACAUGCAAGUCGAAUGAGGGAAGAGGAGCUUGCUUUUCUGAUCUAGUGGCGGACGGGUGGGUAACACGUGAGCAAUCUGCCUUUCAGAGGGGGAUACCGAUUGGAAACGAUCGUUAAUACCGCAUAACAUAAUUGAACCGCAUGAUUUGAUUAUCAAAGAUUUAUCGCUGAAAGAUGAGCUCGCGUCUGAUUAGCUAGUUGGUAAGGUAACGGCUUACCAAGGCGACGAUCAGUAGCCGGACUGAGAGGUUGAUCGGCCACAUUGGGACUGAGACACGGCCCAGACUCCUACGGGAGGCGGCAGUGGGGAAUAUUGCACAAUGGAGGAAACUCUGAUGCAGCGAUGCCGCGUGAGGGAAGAAGGUUUUAGGAUUGUAAACCUCUGUCUUCAGGGACGAAAAAAGACGGUACCUGAGGAGGAAGCUCCGGCUAACUACGUGCCAGCAGCCGCGGUAAUACGUAGGGAGCGAGCGUUGUCCGGAAUUACUGGGUGUAAAGGGAGCGUAGGCGGGAUCGCAAGUCAGAUGUGAAAACUAUGGGCUUAACCCAUAAACUGCAUUUGAAACUGUGGUUCUUGAGUGAAGUAGAGGUAAGCGGAAUUCCUAGUGUAGCGGUGAAAUGCGUAGAUAUUAGGAGGAACAUCAGUGGCGAAGGCGGCUUACUGGGCUUUAACUGACGCUGAGGCUCGAAAGCGUGGGGAGCAAACAGGAUUAGAUACCCUGGUAGUCCACGCCGUAAACGAUGAUUACUAGGUGUGGGGGGACUGACCCCUUCCGUGCCGCAGCAAACGCAAUAAGUAAUCCACCUGGGGAGUACGACCGCAAGGUUGAAACUCAAAGGAAUUGACGGGGGCCCGCACAAGCAGUGGAGUAUGUGGAUUAAUUCGAAGCAACGCGAAGGACCUUACCAGGUCUUGACAUCGUAUGCAUAGCUCAGAGAUGAGUGAAAUCUCUUCGGAGACAUAUAGACAGGUGGUGCAUGGUUGUCGUCAGCUCGUGUCGUGAGAUGUUGGGUUAAGUCCCGCAACGAGCGCAACCCUUACUGUUAGUUGCUACGCAAGAGCACUCUAGCAGGACUGCCGUUGACAAAACGGAGGAAGGUGGGGAUGACGUCAAAUCAUCAUGCCCCUUAUGACCUGGGCCUCACACGUACUACAAUGGCUGUCAACAGAGGGAAGCAAAGCCGCGAGGUGGAGCGAACCCCUAAAAGCAGUCUUAGUUCGGAUUGUAGGCUGCAACCCGCCUACAUGAAGUCGGAAUUGCUAGUAAUCGCAGAUCAGCAUGCUGCGGUGAAUACGUUCCCGGGCCUUGUACACACCGCCCGUCACGCCAUGGGAGUCGGUAACACCCGAAGCCUGUAGUCUAACCGCAAGGAGGACGCAGUCGAAGGUGGGAUUGAUGACUGGGGUGAAGUCGUAACAAGGUA